AGUGAACGCUGGCGGUAGGCCUAACACAUGCAAGUCGAACGGCAGCACAGUAAGAGCUUGCUCUUACGGGUGGCGAGUGGCGGACGGGUGAGGAAUACAUCGGAAUCUACUUUUUCGUGGGGGAUAACGUAGGGAAACUUACGCUAAUACCGCAUACGACCUACGGGUGAAAGCAGGGGAUCUUCGGACCUUGCGCGAUUGAAUGAGCCGAUGUCGGAUUAGCUAGUUGGCGGGGUAAAGGCCCACCAAGGCGACGAUCCGCAGCUGGUCUGAGAGGAUGAUCAGCCACACUGGAACUGAGACACGGUCCAGACUCCUACGGGAGGCUGCAGUGGGGAAUAUUGGACAAUGGGCGCAAGCCUGAUCCAGCCAUACCGCGUGGGUGAAGAAGGCCUUCGGGUUGUAAAGCCCUUUUGUUGGGAAAGAAAAGCAGCAGGUUAAUACCCCGCUGUUCUGACGGUACCCAAAGAAUAAGCACCGGCUAACUUCGUG
rnacentral:rRNA from 1 species